CGUGAGCUCAGGCAGGUCACCCCACUCUCUGUGCCUCAGCUUCCUUGCCUGUGAAAUGGAGCUAAUCCUGGCUUCCACAUGAAGCUCCUGUGAGGAAUAAAUGAGCGAAUGCAGGUAAAGGGCUUAGGAAGUACUCGAUGGAUGCUAACCGAAAAAAUGCUACAGUCUUGGUGUUUUAACUUAGAAUCCGCGGACAGCAUCGAAGUCAGGAACGCUCCCUGGUCCACUUUUGCUUUGAGUUUUAGGUAGCCGCUCUCCUCUCUGGUGUGGUUGGAAGAAGAGCCUCCCGCCCCAGCUGUCCCUUCCGAGUGGGCCUCGGUGUCUGGGCUAUCUAGACGGAGCUGCCAUUUCCACCUGGAGGUCUGGGUCUGUUGCUCACAGGGCCUCUGCAUAGGCUGGGACUGCCGGCUAGGCCAGGAGACCUGGCAGCUGCGGACUCCCCAGCUCGGAGCAGCCCCUCUUUGGUGAGUGGUAGAGCCCUUCCUGCCUUUGCUCUGGGAGCAGCCCCAGCCCUCCUCCAGGGCCCGGGAGCUGAGCCAGCCUCUCUUGGGGGCGACUUCCAGAUGCUCAGGCUGGCACCUUGCUCUGGACCUUCCCUGGUGUCCUGCCCUGCCCUCCUGCCCUGCCCCUACCUU
rnacentral:lncRNA from 1 species